rnacentral:misc_RNA from 1 species
AAGAGUUAGGGUCUUCUAGGCCCGAUCUCCCAACCCUUUGUUUACCAAACCAUUUUGUUGCUUCGGCGAGCCCGUCUUCACGGACCGCCGGGGGACCUCUCUCGGUCUCCUGGCCCGCGCUCGUCGGUGGCCCAACCUUCAAAUUCUUAACUAAAUGUGUCAUGACUAAGUACAAAUUUUUUAAUUAAAGCA